CUAGACUUUAAUCUACACCCCCUAACUUUCUAAAUCAUCGAUACAUAACCCUUCUAAAGAUGCAAUGUGAUUUAUUUGCAUUGCUCUGCAUGUCAAAGUGAAGAAAUGCAACCAAGUGCGGGUAAACGAAGGGAGUAACUAUGACUCUCUUUAGGUAGCUAGAUGUCUCGUCAUCUAAUUAGUGACGUGCAUGAAUGAAUCAUUAACAAGAUUCUCCACUGUCCCUAGCUACUAUAUUCUAGAGAAAACACAUCUACGAGAAUGGGCUUGGAAGAAUUAGUGGGGAAAGAAGACCAUGUUGAGCUUGAAUCUAGUCCUAACCCAUUCAUAAUUUGGGAAUAUUAGGGCAUAGU
rfam:Picea glauca, whole genome shotgun sequence.